rnacentral:tRNA from 1 species
UGGGAGAUCGUUCAACGGUAGGACACCUGGCUCUGGACCAGGAUAUUGGGGUUCGAAUCCCUAUCUCCCAGCCA